AUACGGAGGGUGCAAGCGUUAAUCGGAAUUACUGGGCGUAAAGCGCGCGUAGGCGGUUUGGUCAGUUGGAUGUGAAAGCCCCGGGCUUAACCUGGGAACUGCAUUCAAUACUGCCAAACUAGAGUACGGGAGAGGGGGGUAGAAUUUCUAGUGUAGCGGUGAAAUGCGUAGAUAUUAGAAGGAAUACCAGUGGCGAAGGCGGCCCCCUGGCUCGAUACUGACGCUGAGGUGCGAAAGCGUGGGGAGCAAACAGGAUUAGAAACCCUAGUAGUCC
rnacentral:rRNA from 1 species